UUACAUUAUAGCGUUAAAUUCUACUUCACCUUUAAUGACGACUGUUUCGGUGCCGUAAUUUCGUAAUUAAUUUCGUAAAUUCUUUCUUUCUUUGUGGUCUACAUUUAAAUUGUGGUCUUCAUUUAAAUAAUAACAAUCAUACCAAAUUAAAUUUUUGAAACUCUUUGUACCUACCUAUACGAGUGAGCUUGAUCGCUUUUUCUUUGGUGUAUGGUAUCUUUGGUAUCUAUUUCAGGUUUUGCACUUACCUAUAUAUAAACACUAUUAUGUACUUUAGCAUGUAGUUGCGCUCUCUCGGAAGGGUUUCCACGGAAGACCAGCGUCGAGAUUCUUAAGUGGUAUCUUGACAUUAAGCUGAGUGGAGACCCUUUCAGUGACGCUUAACAAUAAAUUAGUACUGUCUAUGUAAUUCCUAAAUUUAAGCGUUUUCUGAAUAAAUUUCUUCUAUUCU